GUUUGUACCAUAAAUGAGCAAGAACAAUUAUCUUCACUAAUUUGCUUUAUGCUUUGUACAAGUUUCAGAUCUGUAAAAUACUGGUUUGAGAAAAUUUUAUGUUGGAUGUACAGAUAAUAAAGGUAUGUAUUAUAUAAAAAUGGAAAGGGCAGAUACAUGAGUUUGAAAAUACAGCAAAAUAUGUUAUCGCUUAAUUUCACGGCAA
rnacentral:lncRNA from 1 species